rnacentral:rRNA from 1 species
UAGUUUGAUCAUGGCUCAGGAUGAACGCUAGCGGCAGGCUUAACACAUGCAAGUCGAGGGGCAGCAUGGGAGUAGCAAUACUUCUGAUGGCGACCGGCGCACGGGUGCGUAACGCGUAUGCAACCUACCUGUAACAGGGGGAUAACACUGAGAAAUCGGUACUAAUACCGCAUAACACUGUGAGAGGCAUCUCUUGUGGUUGAAAGUUUCGGCGGUUACAGAUGGGCAUGCGUUGUAUUAGCUGGUUGGUAAGGUAACGGCUUACCAAGGCGACGAUACAUAGGGGGACUGAGAGGUUAACCCCCCACAUUGGUACUGAGACACGGACCAAACUCCUACGGGAGGCAGCAGUGAGGAAUAUUGGUCAAUGGACGGAAGUCUGAACCAGCCAUGCCGCGUGCAGGAAGACGGCUCUAUGAGUUGUAAACUGCUUUUGUACAAGGGUAAACCUGAAUACGUGUAUUCAGCUGAAAGUACUGUACGAAUAAGGAUCGGCUAACUCCGUGCCAGCAGCCGCGGUAAUACGGAGGAUCCAAGCGUUAUCCGGAUUUAUUGGGUUUAAAGGGUGCGUAGGCGGAUUGAUAAGUUAGAGGUGAAAUGUCCGAGCUCAACUCGGGAACUGCCUCUAAUACUGUUGAUCUAGAGAGUAGAUGCGGUAGGCGGAAUGUAUGGUGUAGCGGUGAAAUGCUUAGAGAUCAUACAGAACACCGAUUGCGAAGGCAGCUUACCAAUCUAUAUCUGACGUUGAGGCACGAAAGCGUGGGGAGCAAACAGGAUUAGAUACCCUGGUAGUCCACGCAGUAAACGAUGAUAGCUCGUUGUCGGCGAUACACAGUCGGUGACUAAGAGAAAUCGAUAAGCUAUCCACCUGGGGAGUACGUUCGCAAGAAUGAAACUCAAAGGAAUUGACGGGGGCCCGCACAAGCGGAGGAACAUGUGGUUUAAUUCGAUGAUACGCGAGGAACCUUACCCGGGCUUGAAAGUUAGUGACUGAUCUGGAAACAGGUCUUCCCUUCGGGGCACGAAACUAGGUGCUGCAUGGUUGUCGUCAGCUCGUGCCGUGAGGUGUCGGGUUAAGUCCCAUAACGAGCGCAACCCCUACUGAUAGUUGCCAUCAGGUCAAGCUGGGCACUCUAUCGGGACUGCCGGUGUAAGCCGGAGGAGGGUGGGGAUGACGUCAAAUCAGCACGGCCCUUACGUCCGGGGCGACACACGUGUUACAAUGGUAGGUACAGAGGGCCGCUACCCAGCGAUGGGGUGCAAAUCUCGAAAGCCUAUCUCAGUUCGGAUUGGAGGCUGAAACUCGCCUCCAUGAAGUUGGAUUCGCUAGUAAUCGCGCAUCAGCCAUGGCGCGGUGAAUACGUUCCCGGGCCUUGUACACACCGCCCGUCAAGCCAUGGGAGUUGGGGGUGCCUGAAGUUCGUGACCGCAAGGAGCGACCUAGGGCAAAACUAAUGACUGGGAAUAGAGUCGUAACAAGGU